rnacentral:rRNA from 1 species
GGGCCCGCACAAGCGGUGGAGCAUGUGGUUUAAUUCGAAGCAACGCGCAGAACCUUACCCAGGCUUGACAUCCCGAGAACUUUGGGGAAACCCAUUGGUACCGUCGAAAGACGGGACUCGGUGACAGGUGCUGCAUGGCUGUCGUCAGCUCGUGCUGUGAGGUGUUCGGUUAAGUCCGGCAACGAGCGCAACCCCUGUCGCUAGUUACCAGCAUUUAGUUGGGUACUCUAGCGAGACUGCCGGUGACAAGCCGGAGGAAGGUGGGGACGACGUCAAGUCCUCAUGGCCCUUAUGUCUGGGGCUACACACGUGCUACAAUGGUGACUACAGAGGGCAGCGAAGCGGCGACGUGGAGCAAAUCCCAAAAAAGUCAUCUCAGUUCGGAUUGGAGUCUGCAACUCGACUCCAUG